GACGAACGCUGGCGGCGUGCUUAACACAUGCAAGUCGAACGGAAAGGCCCUGCUUGCAGGGUGCUCGCGUGGCGAACGGGUGAGUAACACGUGGGUGAUCCGCCCUCCACUUCGGGAUAAGCCUGGGAAACAGGGUCUAAUACCGGAUAGAAGCCAUCUUGAUUGUGAUGGUUGGAAAGUUUUUUCGGUGUGGGAUGAGCUCGCGGCCUAUCAGCUUGUUGGUGGGGUAAUGGCCUACCAAGGCGGCGACGGGUAGCCGGCCUGGGAGGGUGGACGGCCACAUUGGGACUGGGAUACGGCCCAGACUCCUACGGGAGGCAGCAGGGGGGGAUAUUGCACAAUGGGCGCGAGCCUGAUGCAGCGACGCCGCGUGGGGGAAGACGGCCUUCGGGUUGGAAACUCCUUUCGCUAGGGACGAAGCUUUUUGUGACGGUAACUAGAGAAGAAGCACCGGCUAACUACGUG
rnacentral:rRNA from 1 species